UACGGAGGUGGCAAGCGUUGCUCGGAAUCACUGGGCGUAAGGGCGCGUAGGCGGGGAGGUAAGUCGGGUGUGAAAUCCCUCGGCCCAACCGAGGAACUGCGCCCGAGACUGCUUCUCUUGAGUCCCGGAGAGGAAGAUGGAAUUCCCGGUGUAGCGGUGAAAUGUGUAGAGAUCGGGAGGAACACCGGUGGCGAAGGCGGUCUUCUGGACGGUGACUGACGCUGAGGCGCGAAAGCGUGGGGAGCAAACGGG
rnacentral:rRNA from 1 species